GGGUCGUUAGCUCAGUUGGGAGAGCGCCUGCCUUGCACGCAGGAGGUCUGCGGUUCGAUCCCGCAUAGCUCCACCA
rnacentral:tRNA from 1 species